rfam:Ovis aries breed Texel chromosome 9, whole genome shotgun sequence.
UCCCUGGUGGUUCAGUGGUCGGGGCUUUGCACUUCCACUGCAGCGGGCACGGGUUCGAGACCUGGUCAGGGAA